rnacentral:lncRNA from 1 species
AGAGGUCUUGUUUUAUGGAAAAAGGAUGCCUACUUUGUCAGGAGUAAGAGGAAGGGCGUGGUAAUUUCACGAAUUAGAAAAGGUCUCUCAGCCCGACAGCACUUCCAUGGUGUUUAGUUCAUGAUUAGUGCUUUACUGAGAAAUUUCCGUCUCAUUACAACAGAUUGCUUAACAUUCUGCUGACUUUAAAAGGCAUAAAUUAUAACUUACUAAUAUUUUUUACAACGGGGGUUUGAGUGCCUUGAAAGCUUUAGUGAUUUCUUCUAGCUUCACAGGAAAUGGACAGGCUGUUUGAAUGAUCACUAAUAGAAUGAAUGAUUGUGAAGUAUAGUAACAUGGUAUUCAUUCUGAUGGUGCUCUCCAGCUUGCCUUGAUGCUGCUGAGCUGUGUGGUUAAGGUAAAUAGAUGGUAUUUUUGGACAUGAAGUGACAAAGUGCUUUAAACUGUGUCUCACUUACCCUAAUCUAGCCU